ensembl:lncRNA
UUCUUCUUGGAGGCUGCCUCCUUUGGAGUGUUUGGUGAGCUCUGACUCUUAGGAACAGACACUUCAGUGCACUAUGAACAGUUUUGUAGAGGGCCAGUUGAUGCCAAGACUCCAGCUGCUCUGGUAUAUGCAUUCUGUGGGACUUAGCUUGGACUAGCUCUCAUUUGAUUGUGUGGACUGAACACUCAGCAGCAGCUGGAAUACAUCAUGUGCAAUUGUGGAGUUCACCUUCUCCUUUUGUUUGAGUCAUGGAGUUGUUAGGAUCUACUGGAAUAUUCCCUACAGUCUGUAUUUACUUUCCAGAGGGAGCAUACUAUAAGGCUGUAACCAGAUGAGCCGUGUGUACUUUUAUGCUUUUUGCUUUCAGAACUCAGAGACUGCAGUUUUUGAUGGUAUUUUCUGUAUUAUCUUCACCAUGCAGUUGACUGAGCCAUACUGAGUACCAAAGGCACGUUACUUUCCAUGGGAGAUUUGGGACUGUACAUCUGAGCUGGGGUAAUUCACUUGGGUAGACUUCAAUGUAACCACAGAAAAGCACAAAACUGAAGCUUCCUUGUGAAAAGAGUAUGUUAAUGCUUUUGAAGCUUUUAAUUUUGUGUUUGUGUAAUGAAUUUGAAAGAAAUGACACAUGUAUGGAAUAUAAUGAACUUGAGAGAAGCAAAGUGAGCUGUUAAAAUUCAGGUGUGUGCUUACUAGGAAGACAGUGGCUUUUUGGGGUUCUGUAUUCUCCCCUGUUGUAUCUCUGGUGGCAUUCCUGGAGCUGUCCCCACACACCAGCUGUAAUACAGCCUACAGGACUACUUGUUCAGGUCAGCAGAGAGGAUGUUGUGCUGAGCAGCACUCAGGGACUUCUUUGUGGUUGGACCCUUUUAGGUUUCUUUCAUUAUGCCAAGAAAACUGUUAAAUUCAUUAAACACCACCAAGAAUGUUGACAGGAGCACUGUCAGUCAUGUCCUCAUGGACUCUUAUGCCUACAUAGUUUGCUGUGCUCUCUUAAAUUUUUUUCAAUUGAAAAUGAGGUCUGGUACAUCGAUUUGGGUUCAUCGUGAUACAUGUAAGUUUACCUCUGUGCGCAACCAUAUGGACAUGCAGUGUUUUACCAAACAACUGCAAAGGAAGUCUGCAAAUUGGAAUCACUAUCCUAUCUCCAGGGAAGACUACAAUUGUCAAUUCUCUGUCAGCUAAUUGAAAAUAAUGAAAUGUAAGUUACAAACAGCAGCAAAAUUGUAUGAGUCAUUCUAUUUAUACUUGUAAUUACGUCUAAAGGUCUGAGUGUCUUUAAAUUGAAAGAAGAUUGGUUCUGUCAGGUGCUUAACAAGAUUUUCUUGGAAAGGGUCUUUCUAGAGAAAGCACUGUAGAAACCAUCUUUGUCAGCAAAGCGUAAACAGCUUGACACCGUAUGCCAAAAUUCAAGUGAGGUAAUGCUGCAAUGCACUUGUGCACAUUGUUUCAACAAGCAGAUGUAUGUGGCCAAGAUAGAGAGUGACUGCCUCAUGAUGCUAAUUCCCUCUACUUCAGUUACUGUGCGUUAGCUCAAAGUGGAGAUGGAAAAUGCUGAGGGCGGGUG